rnacentral:rRNA from 1 species
GAUGAACGCUAGCGGCAGGCCUAACACAUGCAAGUCGAGGGGCAGCACAGAAACAGCAAUGUUUUGGUGGCGACCGGCGGACGGGUGCGUAACGCGUAUGCAACCUACCUUUAACAGGGGGAUAACGGAGAGAAAUUUCCACUAAUACCCCAUAACAUCGAUCAAGGCAUCUUGAUUGGUUGAAAACUCCGGUGGUUAAAGCUGGGGAUGCGUUGUAUUAGGUAGUUGGUGAGGGAAUGGCUCACCAAGCCUACGAUACAUAGGGGGACUGAGAGGUUAGCCCCCCACACUGGUACUGAGACACGGACCAGACUCCUACGGGAGGCAGCAGUGAGGAAUAUUGGUCAAUGGGGGCAACCCUGAACCAGCCAUGCCGCGUGCAGGAAGACGGCUCUAUGGGUUGUAAACUGCUUUUAAACAGGGAUAAAGCUCAGUAUGUAUACUGUGUUGAAGGUACUGUAAGAAUAAGGAUCGGCUAACUCCGUGCCAGCCGCCGCCGUAA